GACGUAGGGGGCCAGCGUUGUUCGGAAUUACUGGGUGUAAAGGGUUCGUAGGCGGUGUAGCAAGUCGGGAGUGAAAUCUUUGGGCUUAACCCAGAGACUGCUUCCGAAACUGCUGUGCUUGAGUGUGGGAGAGGCGCGUGGAAUUGCAGGUGUAGCGGUGAAAUGCGUAGAUAUCUGCAGGAACACCCGUGGCGAAAGCGGCGCGCUGGACCACUACUGACGCUGAGGAACGAAAGCUAGGGGAGCAAACAGG
rnacentral:rRNA from 1 species